GGGUUGUGAGGUUAAGCGACUAAGCGUACACGGUGGAUGCCCUGGCAGUCAGAGGCGAUGAAGGACGUGCUAAUCUGCGAAAAGCGUCGGUAAGGUGAUAUGAACCGUUAUAACCGGCGAUGUCCGAAUGGGGAAACCCAGUGCAAUUCGUUGCACUAUCGUUAACUGAAUACAUAGGUUAACGAGGCGAACCGGGGGAACUGAAACAUCUAAGUACCCCGAGGAAAAGAAAUCAACCGAGAUUCCCCCAGUAGCGGCGAGCGAACGGGGAGCAGCCCAGAGUCUGAAUCAGCUUGUGUGUUAGUGGAACGGUCUGGAAAGUCCGACGGUACAGGGUGAUAGUCCCGUACACCAAAAUGCACAGGCUGUGAACUCGAAGAGUAGGGCGGGACACGUGGUAUCCUGUCUGAAUAUGGGGGGACCAUCCUCCAAGGCUAAAUACUCCUGACUGACCGAUAGUGAACCAGUACCGUGAGGGAAAGGCGAAAAGAACCCCGGCGAGGGGAGUGAAAAAGAACCUGAAACCGUGUACGUACAAGCAGUGGGAGCACCUUUAUGGUGUGACUGCGUACCUUUUGUAUAAUGGGUCAGCGACUUAUAUUCUGUAGCAAGGUUAACCGUAUAGGGGAGCCGCAGGGAAACCGAGUCUUAACUGGGCGUUAAGUUGCAGGGUAUAGACCCGAAACCCGGUGAUCUAGCCAUGGGCAGGUUGAAGGUUGGGUAACACUAACUGGAGGACCGAACCGACUAAUGUUGAAAAAUUAGCGGAUGACUUGUGGCUGGGGGUGAAAGGCCAAUCAAACCGGGAGAUAGCUGGUUCUCCCCGAAAGCUAUUUAGGUAGCGCCUCGUGAACUCAUCUUCGGGGGUAGAGCACUGUUUCGGCUAGGGGGUCAUCCCGACUUACCAACCCGAUGCAAACUACGAAUACCGAAGAAUGUUAUCACGGGAGACACACGGCGGGUGCUAACGUCCGUCGUGAAGAGGGAAACAACCCAGACCGCCAGCUAAGGUCCCAAAGUCAUGGUUAAGUGGGAAACGAUGUGGGAAGGCACAGACAGCCAGGAUGUUGGCUUAGAAGCAGCCAUCAUUUAAAGAAAGCGUAAUAGCUCACUGGUCGAGUCGGCCUGCGCGGAAGAUGUAACGGGGCUAAACCAUGCACCGAAGCUGCGGCAGCGACACUAUGUGUUGUUGGGUAGGGGAGCGUUCUGUAAGCCUGCGAAGGUGUGCUGUGAGGCAUGCUGGAGGUAUCAGAAGUGCGAAUGCUGACAUAAGUAACGAUAAAGCGGGUGAAAAGCCCGCUCGCCGGAAGACCAAGGGUUCCUGUCCAACGUUAAUCGGGGCAGGGUGAGUCGACCCCUAAGGCGAGGCCGAAAGGCGUAGUCGAUGGGAAACAGGUUAAUAUUCCUGUACUUGGUGUUACUGCGAAGGGGGGACGGAGAAGGCUAUGUUAGCCGGGCGACGGUUGUCCCGGUUUAAGCAUGUAGGCUGGUUAUCCAGGCAAAUCCGGAUAAUCAAGGCUGAGGUGUGAUGACGAGGCACUACGGUGCUGAAGUAACAAAUGCCCUGCUUCCAGGAAAAGCCUCUAAGCAUCAGGUAACAUCAAAUCGUACCCCAAACCGACACAGGUGGUCAGGUAGAGAAUACCAAGGCGCUUGAGAGAACUCGGGUGAAGGAACUAGGCAAAAUGGUGCCGUAACUUCGGGAGAAGGCACGCUGGUGUGUAGGUGAAGUCCCUGCGGAUGGAGCUGAGACCAGUCGAAGAUACCAGCUGGCUGCAACUGUUUAUUAAAAACACAGCACUGUGCAAACACGAAAGUGGACGUAUACGGUGUGACGCCUGCCCGGUGCCGGAAGGUUAAUUGAUGGGGUUAUCCGUAAGGAGAAGCUCUUGAUCGAAGCCCCGGUAAACGGCGGCCGUAACUAUAACGGUCCUAAGGUAGCGAAAUUCCUUGUCGGGUAAGUUCCGACCUGCACGAAUGGCGUAAUGAUGGCCAGGCUGUCUCCACCCGAGACUCAGUGAAAUUGAACUCGCUGUGAAGAUGCAGUGUACCCGCGGCAAGACGGAAAGACCCCGUGAACCUUUACUAUAGCUUGACACUGAACAUUGAGCCUUGAUGUGUAGGAUAGGUGGGAGGCUUUGAAGCGUGGACGCCAGUCUGCGUGGAGCCAACCUUGAAAUACCACCCUUUAAUGUUUGAUGUUCUAACGUUGGCCCCUUACCGGGGUUGCGGACAGUGUCUGGUGGGUAGUUUGACUGGGGCGGUCUCCUCCCAAAGCGUAACGGAGGAGCACGAAGGUUAGCUAAUCCUGGUCGGACAUCAGGAGGUUAGUGCAAUGGCAUAAGCUAGCUUGACUGCGAGCGUGACGGCGCGAGCAGGUGCGAAAGCAGGUCAUAGUGAUCCGGUGGUUCUGAAUGGAAGGGCCAUCGCUCAACGGAUAAAAGGUACUCCGGGGAUAACAGGCUGAUACCGCCCAAGAGUUCAUAUCGACGGCGGUGUUUGGCACCUCGAUGUCGGCUCAUCACAUCCUGGGGCUGAAGUAGGUCCCAAGGGUAUGGCUGUUCGCCAUUUAAAGUGGUACGCGAGCUGGGUUUAGAACGUCGUGAGACAGUUCGGUCCCUAUCUGCCGUGGGCGCUGGAGAAUUGAGGGGGGCUGCUCCUAGUACGAGAGGACCGGAGUGGACGCAUCACUGGUGUUCGGGUUGUCAUGCCAAUGGCACUGCCCGGUAGCUAAAUGCGGAAGAGAUAAGUGCUGAAAGCAUCUAAGCACGAAACUUGCCCCGAGAUGAGUUCUCCCUGAGACUUUAAGUCUCCUGAAGGAACGUUGAAGACGACGACGUUGAUAGGCCGGGUGUGUAAGCGCAGCGAUGCGUUGAGCUAACCGGUACUAAUGAACCGUGAGGCUUAACCUUACAACGCCGAAG
rnacentral:rRNA from 1 species